rnacentral:misc_RNA from 1 species
UAAACAAGGUGAUUUUGAAAUGGUGAAGGUACUAUUGGAGGCAUUUCCUCAGCUGUCAGUUACAUUUGAUCAGUCAAAUUCCACAGCAUUGCACACUGCAUCAGCACAAGGUCACAUUGAUGUUGUCAAUUUCCUCUUGGAGACUAAUAGCAGUUUAGCCACCAUACCGAAGAAUAAUGGGAAGACGGCGCUUCAUUCUUCAGCAAGAAAUGGUCAUGUUGCAGUUGUGAAGGCACUUCUAAG